CUACGGGACGCUCCAGUGGGGAAUAUUGCACAAUGGGCGCAAGCCUGAUGCAGCCAUGCCGCGUGUAUGAAGAAGGCCUUCGGGUUGUAAAGUACUUUCAGCGGGGAGGAAGGGAGUAAAGUUAAUACCUUUGCUCAUUGACGUUACCCGCAGAAGAAGCACCGGCUAACUCCGUGCCAGCAGCCGCGGUAAUACGGAGGGUGCAAGCGUUAAUCGGAAUUACUGGGCGUAAAGCGCACGCAGGCGGUUUGUUAAGUCAGAUGUGAAAUCCCCGGGCUCAACCUGGGAACUGCAUCUGAUACUGGCAAGCUUGAGUCUCGUAGAGGGGGGUAGAAUUCCAGGUGUAGCGGUGAUAUGCGUAGAGAUCUGGAGGAGUACCGGUGGCGAAGGCGGCCCCCUGGACGAAGACUGACGCUCAGGUGCGAAAGCGUGGGGAGCAAACAGGAUUAGAUACCCCCGUAGUC
rnacentral:rRNA from 1 species